GACAGAGGGUGCAAACGUUGUUCGGAAUUACUGGGCGUAAAGCGUGUGUAGGCGGUCCACUAAGUCGGGUGUGAAAGCCCUGGGCUCAACCCAGGAAGUGCACUCGAAACUGGUGGGCUAGAGUAUCGGAGAGGUUGGUGGAAUUCUCGGUGUAGAGGUGAAAUUCGUAGAUAUCGAGAGGAACACCGGUGGCGAAGGCGGCCAACUGGACGAAUACUGACGCUGAGACACGAAAGCGUGGGGAGCAAACAGG
rnacentral:rRNA from 1 species